GUGCCUAAUACAUGCAAGUCGAGCGAACAGAUGAGAAGCUUGCUUCUCUGAUGUUAGCGGCGGACGGGUGAGUAACACGUGGGUAACCUACCUAUAAGACUGGGAUAACUCCGGGAAACCGGGGCUAAUACCGGAUAAUAUUUUGAACCGCAUGGUUCAAUAGUGAAAGACGGUUUCGGCUGUCACUUAUAGAUGGACCCGCGCCGUAUUAGCUAGUUGGUAAGGUAAUGGCUUACCAAGGCGACGAUACGUAGCCGACCUGAGAGGGUGAUCGGCCACACUGGAACUGAGACACGGUCCAGACUCCUACGGGAGGCAGCAGUAGGGAAUCUUCCGCAAUGGGCGAAAGCCUGACGGAGCAACGCCGCGUGAGUGAUGAAGGUCUUCGGAUCGUAAAACUCUGUUGUUAGGGAAGAACAAAUUUGUUAGUAACUGAACAAGUCUUGACGGUACCUAACCAGAAAGCCACGGCUAACUACGUGCCAGCAGCCGCGGUAAUACGUAGGUGGCAAGCGUUAUCCGGAAUUAUUGGGCGUAAAGCGCGCGUAGGCGGUUUCUUAAGUCUGAUGUGAAAGCCCACGGCUCAACCGUGGAGGGUCAUUGGAAACUGGGAAACUUGAGUGCAGAAGAGGAGAGUGGAAUUCCAUGUGUAGCGGUGAAAUGCGCAGAGAUAUGGAGGAACACCAGUGGCGAAGGCGGCUCUCUGGUCUGUAACUGACGCUGAUGUGCGAAAGCGUGGGGAUCAAACAGGAUUAGAUACCCUGGUAGUCCACGCCGUAAACGAUGAGUGCUAAGUGUUAGGGGGGUUUCCGCCCCUUAGUGCUGCAGCUAACGCAUUAAGCACUCCGCCUGGGGAGUACGACCGCAAGGUUGAAACUCAAAUGAAUUGACGG
rnacentral:rRNA from 1 species